rnacentral:tRNA from 1 species
GGGGUUGUGGCUUAGUGGUAGACCACUUGCCUGGCAUGUAUGAGGCACUGGGUUUGAUCCUCAGCACCACA